rnacentral:rRNA from 1 species
CUUAGAGUUUGAUCCUAGCUCAGGGUGAACGCUGGCGGUAUGGAUAAGGCAUGCAAGUCACGGGGGCCGCAAGGCAACCGGCAGACGAGGUAGUAACACGUAGGAACGUCCCCCAGAGUCUGGUAUAGCUCGCCGAAAGGUGAGGUAAUCCCAGAUGGUCUCGUAAGAGUAAAGCUCCGGCGCUCUGGGAGCGGCCUGCGUAAUAUCAGCUAGUUGGUGAGGUAAUGGCUCACCAAGGCUAUGACGUUUAGGGGACCUGAGAGGGUGACCCCCACCGAUGAAACUGAGACACGGUUCAUACCCCUACGGGGGGCCGCAGCCGAGAAUAUUCGACAAUGGGCGAAAGCCUGAUCGAGCGAUACCGCGUGGUGGAUGAAGUGCUUCGGCACGUAAACAUCUUUUAUGAGGGAAGAAGUUAUUGACAUUACCUCAUGAAUAAGGGGCUCCUAACUCUGUGCCAGCAGGAGCGGUAAUACAGAGGCCCCGAGCGUUACCCGGAAUUACUGGGCGUAAAGAGUGCGUAGGUGGUCGUGUUAGUCGCCUGUCAAAACCCAGGGCUCAACCCUGGAUCCGCGGGCGAAACGGCACGACUUGAGGGCGUGAGAGGUGCAUAGAACUCAUGGUGUAGGGGUGACAUCCGUUGAUAUCUUGGGGAAUACCGAAAGCGAAGGCAGUGCACUGGCGCGUUCCUGACACUCAAGCACGA